GGUUAAGCGACUAAGCGUACACGGUGGAUGCCCUGGCAGUCAGAGGCGAUGAAGGACGUGCUAAUCUGCGAAAAGCGCCGGCGAGGUGAUAUGAACCUUUGACCCGGCGAUGUCCGAAUGGGGAAACCCAGUGUGAUUCGUCACACUAUCGUUAACUGAAUACAUAGGUUAACGAGGCGAACCGGGGGAACUGAAACAUCUAAGUACCCCGAGGAAAAGAAAUCAACCGAGAUUCCCCCAGUAGCGGCGAGCGAACGGGGAGCAGCCC
rnacentral:rRNA from 1 species